AGUGAACGCUGGCGGUAGGCCUAACACAUGCCAGUCGAACGGCAGCACAGUAAGAGCUUGCUCUUACGGGUGGCGAGUGGCGGACGGGUGAGGAAUACAUCGGAAUCUACUUUUUCGUGGGGGAUAACGUAGGGAAACUUACGCUAAUACCGCAUACGACCUACGGGUGAAAGCAGGGGAUCUUCGGACCUUGCGCGAUUGAAUGAGCCGAUGUCGGAUUAGCUAGUUGGCGGGGUAAAGGCCCACCAAGGCGACGAUCCGUAGCUGGUCUGAGAGGAUGAUGAGCCACACUGGAACUGAGAAACGGUCCAGACUCCGACGGGAGGCAGCAGUGGGGAAUAUUGGACAAUGGGCGCAAGCCUGAUCCAGCCAUACCGCGUGGGUGAAGAAGGCCUUCGGGUUGUAAAGCCCUUUUGUUGGGAAAGAAAAGCAGCAGGUUAAUACCCCGCUGUUCUGACGGUACCCAAAGAAUAAGCACCGGCUAACUUCGUG
rnacentral:rRNA from 1 species